UUCCUCUUCCUCUUCCUCUGUAUUGGAAUCCUCUCCCCGAAUGAAAACUGUCUCCACUGCUUCCUCAACCUCAACCUCAGGCCCAUCAGAGAUUGCCAUCAGACUCCCCAUCUUCUUCAUAGUGUUGAUUCUGCCUGGACUCAUUGCAACUGUUCAUUUAGUGAGAAGGAGGAAGCAGACGUGUAGAGAGGAUCCCCCAGCCAUUCAACUACAGAAAUUGAAUUAACAUGGAGAACCCAGAAUGGUCUACAUGACUUUAUGUGAAGACACUGGCUUGAUUUUGAACUUAAUUGAGGAAAAGGUGUCACCUGUUAAUUGGUGUUAAAGUGUAAUUCUAGUUUUGUUUGUGUAAUAGUUUGUGUGGCUGUAUCGACAUCACAUCCUGCUGAUGAAGAAAAAUUUAAUCAUACGGUUUCAUAUAACCAAUAAUAUGUUUCAUACAACCAAUACAACGAGACUAAAGCUGAAUCAUGUUUAUGUAAUCAAUUCGUCACCCAAAUAAAAUGUAAUAGUGUAUUUUUGGAUGAUGACACUGCAUUCACCUCAUGUUUCAAAUUACAGAGAGACAGACGG